rnacentral:rRNA from 1 species
GUCGGGAAUAUUGCGCAAUGGAGGAAACUCUGACGCAGUGACGCCGCGUAUAGGAAGAAGUUUUUCGGAAUGUAAACUAUUGUCGUUAGGGAAGAGAAAGGACAGUACCUAAGGAGGAAGCUCCGGCUAACUACGUGCCAGCAGCCGCGGUAAUACGUAGGGAGCGAGCGUUAUCCGGAAUUAUUGGGUGUAAAGGGUGCGUAGACGGGAAAACAAGUUAGUUGUGAAAUCCCUCGGCUUAACUGAGGAACUGCAACUAAAACUAUUUUUCUUGAGUGCAGGAGAGGUAAGUGGAAUUCCUAGUGUAGCGGUGAAAUGCGUAGAUAUUAGGAGGAACACCAGUGGCGAAGGCGACUUACUGGACUGUAACUGACGUUGAGGCUCGAAAGCGUGGGGAGCAAACAGG